rnacentral:lncRNA from 1 species
CUGUGAUAGAAUUCACUGAAAGUUGAAAACUUGUUUUUUUCUGUGAUGCAGAGCCCAAUAUUAUUCUGGUCCAGUUCAGUUAUGGCCUUCAACUGGAAAUGGAUGAUAUUCAUACUUGUCAAUAUUAUUCACACUUAAAUUCAUUUAACACUUAAACACCUAAAUUCAUGAAGUAUGUCAUAUCCUUGAGUCAGUAUAUUGCAUAUUAAAUUCAUUUAGGUCUUGUGCUAUCAGAUGCUAGAAUGUAAAUGACUGAUUUUUCUAUUGGUUUCUAUUGGAUAUUUCUAUUGGUUGCUUACUAAUGAAAAGGAAACUUUCAAA